GACAGCAGUAGCCGCGGUAAUACAGAGGGUGCGAGCGUUAAUCGGAUUUACUGGGCGUAAAGCGUGCGUAGGCGGCUUCUUAAGUCGGAUGUGAAAUCCCUGAGCUUAACUUAGGAAUUGCAUUCGAUACUGGGAAGCUAGAGUAUGGGAGAGGAUGGUAGAAUUCCAGGUGUAGCGGUGAAAUGCGUAGAGAUCUGGAGGAAUACCGAUGGCGAAGGCAGCCAUCUGGCCUAAUACUGACGCUGAGGUACGAAAGCAUGGGGAGCAAACAGGAUUAGAUACCCCGGUAGUCCCUGUCUCUUAUAC
rnacentral:rRNA from 1 species